rnacentral:rRNA from 1 species
AUACGUAGGUGACAAGCGUUAUCCGGAUUUACUGGGCGUAAAGGGCGUGUAGGCGGUCUUGCAAGUCAGAAGUGAAAUUCCUGAGCUCAACUCGGGCGCUGCUUCUGAAACUGCAGGACUUGAGUGCUGGAGGGGAUAGCGGAAUUCCUAGUGGAGCGGUAAAAUGCGCAGAUAUUAGGAAGAACACCGGUGGCGAAGGCGGGUAUAUGGACAAUAACUGAAGCUGAGGCGCGAAAGCGUGGGGAGCAAACAGGAUUAGAUGACCGAGUAGUCCACGCCGUAAACGAUGAAUACUAGGUGUAGGGGGUAUCGACUCCCUCUGUGCCGCAGUUAACACAAUAAGUAUUCCGCCUGGGGAGUACGGCCGCAAGGUUGAAACUCAAAGGAAUUGACGGGG